rnacentral:rRNA from 1 species
UACGUAGGGCGCAAGCGUUGUCCGGAAUUAUUGGGCGUAAAGAGCUUGUAGGCGGUUUGUCGCGUCUGCCGUGAAAAUCCGGGGCUCAACCCCGGACUUGCGGUGGGUACGGGCAGACUAGAGUGUGGUAGGGGAGACUGGAAUUCCUGGUGUAGCGGUGAAAUGCGCAGAUAUCAGGAGGAACACCGAUGGCGAAGGCAGGUCUCUGGGCCACUACUGACGCUGAGAAGCGAAAGCGUGGGGAGCGAACAGG